CCUACGGGUGGCAGCAGUGGGGAAUAUUGGGCAAUGGGCGCAAGCCUGACCCAGCAACGCCGCGUGAAGGAAGAAGGCUUUCGGGUUGUAAACUUCUUUUCUCAGGGACGAAGAAAGUGACGGUAACUGAGGAAUAAGCUACGGCUAACUACGUGCCAGCAGCCGCGGUAAUACGUAGGUGGCAAGCGUUAUCCGGAUUUACUGGGUGCAAAGGGAGCGCAGACGGUUUUGCAAGUCUGGAGUGAAAGGCGGGGGCCCAACCCGCGGACUGCUCUGGAAACUGUAAAGCUGGAGUGCAGGAGAGGAGAGCGGAAUUCCUAGUGUAGCGGUGAAAUGCGUAGAUAUUAGGAGGAACACCAGUGGCGAAGGCGGCUUACUGGACUGCAACUGACGUUGAGGCUCGAAAGCGUGGGGAGCAAACAGGAUUAGAUACCCGAGUAGUC
rnacentral:rRNA from 1 species